GACGAACGCUGGCGGCGUGCUUAACACAUGCAAGUCGAGCGGAAAGGCCACUUCGGUGGUACUCGAGCGGCGAACGGGUGAGUAACACGGGAGUAAUCUGCCCCUGGCUUUGGGAUAGCCACCGGAAACGGUGAUUAAUACCGGAUAUGACCAUCUUUCGCAUGAUUGGUGGUGGAAAGUUUUUCGGCCAGGGAUGUGCUCGCGGCCUAUCAGCUUGAUGGUGAGGUAAUGGCUCACCAUGGCUUCGACGGGUAGCCGGCCUGAGAGGGUGACCGGCCACACUGGGACUGAGACACGGCCCAGACUCCUACGGGAGGCAGCAGUGGGGAAUAUUGGACAAUGGGCGGAAGCCUGAUCCAGCAACGCCGCGUGAGGGAUGACGGCCUUCGGGUUGUAAACCUCUUUCAGCAGGGACGAAGCGCAAGUGACGGUACCUGCAGAAGAAGCACCGGCCAACUACGUGCCAGCCGCCGCAGUAAAAC
rnacentral:rRNA from 1 species